rnacentral:lncRNA from 1 species
GUGUUUGUUCAGGUUGAAUUCAUGGGAGUGGAGAAGCAAGCCAACUGCAACCACCUGAAAGCUGUGU